UUGUCUUCGGGGCAGGGUGAAAAUUCCCUACCGGCGGUAACAGUCCGCAAGCCUUCCGGCAUGAACCGGCGAAAUUCCGGUACCGACAGUAUAGUCUGGAUGGAAGAAGAC
rnacentral:ncRNA from 1 species